GACGAACGCUGGCGGCGUGCUUAACACAUGCAAGUCGAACGGAAAGGCCCUGCUUUUGUGGGGUGCUCGAGUGGCGAACGCGUGUGUAACACGUGAGUAACCUGCCCUUGACUUUGGGAUAACUCCAGGAAACUGGGGCUCAUACCGGAUAGGAGCUCCUGCUGCACGGUGGGGGUUGGAGAGUUUCGGCGGUUGUGGAUGGACUCGCGGCUUAUCAGCUACUUGGUGGGGUAGUGGCUUACCACGGCUUUGACGGGUAGCCGGCCUGAGAGGGUGACCGGCCACAUGGGUACUGAGAUACGGCCCAGUCGCGUACGGGAGGCAGCGGUGGGAAAUAUUGCGCAGUGGGCGGGAGCCUGAGGCAGCAACGCCGGGAGCGUGAUGACCGCCUUCGGGUUGUAAACCGCUUUGGCCGGUGACGAGGCGUGAGUGACGGUAAUGGGUAAAGAAGCACCGGCUAACUACGUG
rnacentral:rRNA from 1 species